rnacentral:rRNA from 1 species
UGUGAACAUACCUUAAUGUUGCCUCGGCGGAUCAGCCCGCGCCCCGUAAAACGGGACGGCCCGCCAGAGGACCCAAACUCUAAUGUUUCUUAUUGUAACUUCUGAGUAAAACAAACAAAUAAAUCAAAACUUUCAACAACGGAUCUCUUGGUUCUGGCAUCGAUGAAGAACGCAGCAAAAUGCGAUAAGUAAUGUGAAUUGCAGAAUUCAGUGAAUCAUCGAAUCUUUGAACGCACAUUGCGCCCGCUGGUAUUCCGGCGGGCAUGCCUGUUCGAGCGUCAUUUCAACCCUCAAGCCCCCGGGUUUGGUGUUGGGGAUCGGCUCUGCCUUCUGGCGGUGCCGCCCCCGAAAUACAUUGGCGGUCUCGCUGCAGCCUCCAUUGCGUAGUAGCUAACACCUCGCAACUGGAACGCGGCGCGGCCAUGCCGUAAAACCCCAACUUCUGAAUGUUGACCUCGGAUCAGGUAGGAAUACCCGCUGAACUUAAGCAUAUCAAUA